rnacentral:rRNA from 1 species
GGUUAAGCGACUAAGCGUACACGGUGGAUGCCCUGGCAGUCAGAGGCGAUGAAGGACGUGCUAAUCUGCGAUAAGCGUCGGUAAGGUGAUAUGAACCGUUAUAACCGGCGAUUUCCGAAUGGGGAAACCCAGUGUGAUUCGUCACACUAUCAUUAACUGAAUCCAUAGGUUAAUGAGGCGAACCGGGGGAACUGAAACAUCUAAGUACCCCGAGGAAAAGAAAUCAACCGAGAUUCCCCCAGUAGCGGCGAGCGAACGGGGAGCAGCCCAGAGCCUGAAUCAGUGUGUGUGUUAGUGGAAGCGUCUGGAAAGGCGUGCGAUACAGGGUGACAGCCCCGUACACAAAAAUGCACAUACUGUGAGCUCGAUGAGUAGGGCGGGACACGUGGUAUCCUGUCUGAAUAUGGGGGGACCAUCCUCCAAGGCUAAAUACUCCUGACUGACCGAUAGUGAACCAGUACCGUGAGGGAAAGGCGAAAAGAACCCCGGCGAGGGGAGUGAAAAAGAACCUGAAACCGUGUACGUACAAGCAGUGGGAGCACGCUUAGGCGUGUGACUGCGUACCUUUUGUAUAAUGGGUCAGCGACUUAUAUUCUGUAGCAAGGUUAACCGAAUAGGGGAGCCGAAGGGAAACCGAGUCUUAACUGGGCGUUAAGUUGCAGGGUAUAGACCCGAAACCCGGUGAUCUAGCCAUGGGCAGGUUGAAGGUUGGGUAACACUAACUGGAGGACCGAACCGACUAAUGUUGAAAAAUUAGCGGAUGACUUGUGGCUGGGGGUGAAAGGCCAAUCAAACCGGGAGAUAGCUGGUUCUCCCCGAAAGCUAUUUAGGUAGCGCCUCGUGAAUUCAUCUCCGGGGGUAGAGCACUGUUUCGGCAAGGGGGUCAUCCCGACUUACCAACCCGAUGCAAACUGCGAAUACCGGAGAAUGUUAUCACGGGAGACACACGGCGGGUGCUAACGUCCGUCGUGAAGAGGGAAACAACCCAGACCGCCAGCUAAGGUCCCAAAGUCAUGGUUAAGUGGGAAACGAUGUGGGAAGGCCCAGACAGCCAGGAUGUUGGCUUAGAAGCAGCCAUCAUUUAAAGAAAGCGUAAUAGCUCACUGGUCGAGUCGGCCUGCGCGGAAGAUGUAACGGGGCUAAACCAUGCACCGAAGCUGCGGCAGCGACGCUGAUGCGUUGUUGGGUAGGGGAGCGUUCUGUAAGCCUGUGAAGGUGUACUGUGAGGUAUGCUGGAGGUAUCAGAAGUGCGAAUGCUGACAUAAGUAACGAUAAAGCGGGUGAAAAGCCCGCUCGCCGGAAGACCAAGGGUUCCUGUCCAACGUUAAUCGGGGCAGGGUGAGUCGACCCCUAAGGCGAGGCCGAAAGGCGUAGUCGAUGGGAAACAGGUUAAUAUUCCUGUACUUGGUGUUACUGCGAAGGGGGGACGGAGAAGGCUAUGUUGGCCGGGCGACGGUUGUCCCGGUUUAAGCGUGUAGGCUGGUUUUCCAGGCAAAUCCGGAAAAUCAAGGCUGAGGCGUGAUGACGAGGCACUACGGUGCUGAAGCAACAAAUGCCCUGCUUCCAGGAAAAGCCUCUAAGCAUCAGGUAACAUCAAAUCGUACCCCAAACCGACACAGGUGGUCAGGUAGAGAAUACCAAGGCGCUUGAGAGAACUCGGGUGAAGGAACUAGGCAAAAUGGUGCCGUAACUUCGGGAGAAGGCACGCUGAUAUGUAGGUGAAGUCCCUCGCGGAUGGAGCUGAAAUCAGUCGAAGAUACCAGCUGGCUGCAACUGUUUAUUAAAAACACAGCACUGUGCAAACACGAAAGUGGACGUAUACGGUGUGACGCCUGCCCGGUGCCGGAAGGUUAAUUGAUGGGGUUAGCGCAAGCGAAGCUCUUGAUCGAAGCCCCGGUAAACGGCGGCCGUAACUAUAACGGUCCUAAGGUAGCGAAAUUCCUUGUCGGGUAAGUUCCGACCUGCACGAAUGGCGUAAUGAUGGCCAGGCUGUCUCCACCCGAGACUCAGUGAAAUUGAACUCGCUGUGAAGAUGCAGUGUACCCGCGGCAAGACGGAAAGACCCCGUGAACCUUUACUAUAGCUUGACACUGAACAUUGAGCCUUGAUGUGUAGGAUAGGUGGGAGGCUUUGAAGUGUGGACGCCAGUCUGCAUGGAGCCGACCUUGAAAUACCACCCUUUAAUGUUUGAUGUUCUAACGUUGACCCGUAAUCCGGGUUGCGGACAGUGUCUGGUGGGUAGUUUGACUGGGGCGGUCUCCUCCUAAAGAGUAACGGAGGAGCACGAAGGUUGGCUAAUCCUGGUCGGACAUCAGGAGGUUAGUGCAAUGGCAUAAGCCAGCUUGACUGCGAGCGUGACGGCGCGAGCAGGUGCGAAAGCAGGUCAUAGUGAUCCGGUGGUUCUGAAUGGAAGGGCCAUCGCUCAACGGAUAAAAGGUACUCCGGGGAUAACAGGCUGAUACCGCCCAAGAGUUCAUAUCGACGGCGGUGUUUGGCACCUCGAUGUCGGCUCAUCACAUCCUGGGGCUGAAGUAGGUCCCAAGGGUAUGGCUGUUCGCCAUUUAAAGUGGUACGCGAGCUGGGUUUAGAACGUCGUGAGACAGUUCGGUCCCUAUCUGCCGUGGGCGCUGGAGAACUGAGGGGGGCUGCUCCUAGUACGAGAGGACCGGAGUGGACGCAUCACUGGUGUUCGGGUUGUCAUGCCAAUGGCACUGCCCGGUAGCUAAAUGCGGAAGAGAUAAGUGCUGAAAGCAUCUAAGCACGAAACUUGCCCCGAGAUGAGUUCUCCCUGACUCCUUGAGAGUCCUGAAGGAACGUUGAAGACGACGACGUUGAUAGGCCGGGUGUGUAAGCGCAGCGAUGCGUUGAGCUAACCGGUACUAAUGAACCGUGAGGCUUAACCUU